UCCUAUAUUCUUGCAACUCUUGUUAAUGUCUGGCUAAAUAUAAGAGAAUAGGAUUCUCAUUUCUCCUGCUUUAUUCAAUCUGUUUUGAUAGCACAUGUCAUGUAGCCUCCAGGGAACUCCACUAUACAUCGUUAAAGAAUAAGAGUGACUGAGAAGGGCGGGAGAUUGGGACGGGCUUCGCCUGCGAGAGGAUCAACAUGCUUUUGGCUAGAGAUUUACUACGCCCGUCCUUGGAAGAGGAAAAGAAAAAACAUAAAAAGAAACGGCUAGUUCAAAGUCCAAAUUCUUAUUUUAUGGAUGUAAAAUGUCCAGGUUGCUACAAGAUCACCACGGUUUUCAGCCGCGCUCAGACGGUGGUUCUUUGUGUAGUUUGUUCAACAGUGCUGUGCCAGCUGACAGGAGGAAAGGCUAGACUCACCGAAGGGUGUUCAUUUAGAAGAAAGCAACACUAAUGAUCCACACAGCUUCCUGAAUUUGGAUUAUAUCACAAAAAGCCUUAUCAGUUUAGUAAUUCUAGUUAAUCUACCAGGAUAAUGUAAUUACAUUUAAUUUUGUAAGUAUACAACAGUGAUCUAUUCUGGUGUCAAUUUUUCAAUAAAGUUUUGAUUAUGGG